AGCGUUUUGUAACGGUCGUGAAAAUUUUUCCUCGCGUCAGUAUAACUGCUUAAAAGUUGGCAAAAUAUUAUAUUCGGAGUGAAUUAGGCUCGAUUAGUUCUUUCAUUGAAUCCAGCAAAUCGCCAACUUACGUUGUUGAGGCGUGUUUUCGGCAAAGCCACUGGGGCUUAUUGAACGGCUUAUUGAUUGGAUAAAAUUGUCCUAUUGCCAAGCGCUAGGCAGUUUGCUACCGUAACCUGGCACUCGAGUAGAGCGGAAGUUAGUAGGGGAACUAUUUUUGAGGCCUGUCGAGGACAGUUUCCCGUCAUUAAACGGCAUUAAGUCUAUCCGAGACAGACUACAAAAAACUCAAACACUGAUAGAUC